AAACUCUGGCCUUCAGAGUCAUAAACGUCCUGGGUCAAUCUAUUCAGAACAGCUUGAUGUACGAGCAGAAGGGGAAAACUAUUAUCAUGCAAAUCAGAUAUAUGAUCUUAGUGGUGAACCUUUGAUACAAGGGAACUCAGUCGCUGCAGAGAACGACAGGACCAAAAGUGGAUAUGGUAUGGAAGUAAAGUCAAUAGCUGAGGAUGACCAAACAGCCCUGCAUGUUGCUGUGCGCACAGGUCAUCCUGAAAAUGUAAGGAUAUUGCUGGAAGGUGGAGCAAAUGUAAACAAGCUCGAUGCCAAAGGGCGUACACCAAUAAGUUUGGCAGAAAAUCAAGGAAACAAAUGCAUAUAUGAUCUUUUACUGAGUUAUCAAAAUACAAGGUCAACAAAUGAGCAGAAAAUAGAGCUUCUUGAAGAGUCAAGUUAUGAGACAAGGAACAAGCAAUUCAAAGAAACACAUACUGGGGUCACCACUUGUUCUAGUUCUUACCAAAAAGAUUCCUUAUGCUCCAGCUCAGAAGCUUUGAACCAUUCUGCUGAGGCUGAAGUUAGAAAAAUAAAUACAAUAAGAGUUACUAUUCACAUGAACAAUGCAUCACAGAAGCAGCUUGCAAAGUUAAUCAACUUACCUGGUUCGAUUGACGAGCUAUUCAGGAUCGCAGGUAAAUUUGAAAUCAAACCUGAAACUGAAGUAGCAAGUUUACUUGCUCAGAAUAAACCUUUAUCAAGUACAUUUAUUGUCAUUAGUGUUUUCCUACAUUGAUGCUCAUUACUCUAGUCAUCUGUACCUUGGUAAAAUGCAGGUCAAAAAUAUGGAGGCUACAAUUUCACGAAGAUGGUAAACUCAGAGAAUGCAGAGAUAGAUGACUUGAGUGUAAUCAGGGAUGGUGACCAUUUGUUUCUUAUUCCAGAGCAAAGCGAAACAAUGAGUGACAUGAGGCCCUGAUGAAUAUCAAGAGAGCUCUUAGUUAGCUUUAUUAGUUGUAUACCUGAUUAUUGUAAUAAAAAUAGGUUACGAUAAUCAAAUCAUACUCUCCUUUGGAGGGAUCACCGCCUUGAAAUCGAGAAUCGGUUAAAAGCACUACACUGGCCUCCCGUGGAGGGAUGCAAAUAAAACUGUAUAGGAUACUUUCAGGUUUAUUAAAUAUAUAAUUAUCAAUUUCAGCCCUUCUAGAAUCUAUCAAUUCAGCAACGAUGCUUGCUUCUGCUAUAAAAACCAGCAAUGGACUAUGUCAUCCACAUAAUUACGUUUUAAAUAACCGCAGAGUAUAAGUUACCGUAGUUCAAUGCAAAGCUUAACUAAGCAGCUCCUCCUUGAGUGUUCAUCCAAUAGCAUAGUCUCAAUUAUGUCUCGUUCUUAUUCGCAAUUUUUGCAGAAUCAGGUAAACACCAAAAGCAAUUCAGGCCAUCAAAGACAUGAACACAAAGACAAAAAAGUAAUUUCCAUAAAUUAAGACUCAGUACUGCAUGUCAGGAAGUUAGCUAGGAAUUAGGAGAUACUAGUUCUUUCUCUGAUGUUCAUUCCUAACAAGGAAUAAGAAUUAUGUUCUAAAUCAUUAGAACACUGCAUCAUAUCAUAAUUCUAAGCACUAAAAUUGAAAAAUAUUGUUAGAUUCGCAUUUCAACCAGAAAAGGAGCUAGAAUUGUAACAAAAGUAAUUAAAAAUUCAGGUCACACCUUGUGGAGUGAUCGCCAACGAAGUUUAACUACGAUCUCACUGGUUGAAACGUGAACGGGGCUUCAUCUUGUUUUUCUAAUUUUUUAGCUCGAACAUAAUAGUAUAACAGGGUGCGGGGGUCCGGUUUGGUUUGGAUCGGAGGUAGAAUCGGAACUAAACCAUACAUUAACGGUUUUUUAAAAUCUCAAAUCAACCCGUGAUCCGCAAACCAAUGAACCCGGACCGAUGCGAUUUUUGAUGGUUCGGUUAACCAGAUUGAUCGGUUUAUGACUAAAGUUUAUAAUCACAUACGAGGAUCAUAACUAAUACUAAAAAAUAAAGUAUCAUUUUGUCUCCAUCUACACAAUUUCACAAAGUUAAAUUAAAAUACAAAUUUUAGUCUAAUAUNAAUAGGAACGCACUCAUGAAUAUAAUUCAUGAAAAUUCUGACGAUGGACGUAUUAUCAUGAAUAACUUUUACAAGGUAGAAUAAAGAUUAAUUAGCUUUUGCUCUUUAAGUACUUAUGAGGGUUUACAAAUCUUGUGAAGUUGAUUGUUUUCAAUUCAUAGGAUCUUGAAAACUCUGGCCUUCAGAGUCAUAAACGUCCUGGGUCAAUCUAUUCAGAACAGCUUGAUGUACGAGCAGAAGGGGAAAACUAUUAUCAUGCAAAUCAGAUAUAUGAUCUUAGUGGUGAACCUUUGAUACAAGGGAACUCAGUCGCUGCAGAGAACGACAGGACCAAAAGUGGAUAUGGUAUGGAAGUAAAGUCAAUAGCUGAGGAUGACCAAACAGCCCUGCAUGUUGCUGUGCGCACAGGUCAUCCUGAAAAUGUAAGGAUAUUGCUGGAAGGUGGAGCAAAUGUAAACAAGCUCGAUGCCAAAGGGCGUACACCAAUAAGUUUGGCAGAAAAUCAAGGAAACAAAUGCAUAUAUGAUCUUUUACUGAGUUAUCAAAAUACAAGGUCAACAAAUGAGCAGAAAAUAGAGCUUCUUGAAGAGUCAAGUUAUGAGACAAGGAACAAGCAAUUCAAAGAAACACAUACUGGGGUCACCACUUGUUCUAGUUCUUAC
rnacentral:lncRNA from 1 species